AUGCGCCGGCGCCCUUCCUUGAUGCGGAUAAACGAUCUUAUUGGGGAAGGUGGGGUCACCCACCUGCAAUUUGUUGACGAUACCAUCCUUAUGGUAGAAGGAUCGGACACGGAUAUCCAACACAUCAAAUUCAUGCUUCUCUGCUUCCAAGAAAUGUCAUGUCUGAGUGUCAACUACAACAAGAGCGAAGUCAUGGUGCUUGGGUAUUCCGACAUUGAGCGACUAAAUUGUUGCCUUGGGUCCUUUCCGACGUCCUUUCUAGGUGAUGAUGUAUUGGUCACUAGUGAAAUACUAGAAGUGCAUGUGCAAUACCUCCAAAUUUCCCUGGAUCUCAGAGUAAACUGCCUAUCUGUCAAGCCGUGUUGGGAUAUCAAGAAGGACCUUCUUAGAGCAAGUGAUGUCCGUCUAAGUACUCUUAAACAAGACAUUGUCAUGUCUUGUGCCCGAGCAUCAUCCACAGAGUUCAACCGUAACCGCGUCUCUGAGCUUCUCCAUUUUGUGGAUGACUUUGGUGCCAAUCGACGGAGAUAUGAUAAAUUAAGAACCAGGCGUAAAUUCAGAUGUUUGCACUCUCAUGGAUGUACUCUGGAGAUGGACGCGCUAUUCAUCAGGUUAUAUUCGGUGAUGCUUUGGGCAUGGAGUAUGUAUGGAGUACGCACGCAGCACUGCCAUCACACUGGCAUCCCAGUACCCACUGCUAUCGUUGAGCCAAAAAAGAGAGGUUGCAGCACGUUGUGCCCACACUCCCGUGUUCGGGCUGGUUUGCUGCUAACACUUGACACCGCACCGCUUGCAAGUGAUUUAUUGCCGCCCGUCCCUUUCUUACUACUCCAUCUGUAUUUCUCGGGGAAGGCGGCCAAGAAGUGGUGGAGGAAGAGAGUUGCCCUGUCUAUCUUUUUGAAUUAUUUGCAUUGCUUGCCAAAUGUGUCACAUGGUAGUUGUCACAUGUGUCGCAGUAAUUCAAACACGGGUGCACAAUUUGGGGCCACCUUCCCGCUGUCCCUCUCACGUCGUGCAUAUAAGGCGCUGCCACCGGCUCCGGCCGGAAGCGCAGCGAUCGAACACGAGCUACAACGAGAGAAGGGACCAGAAACAGGAGACCUACGGCCAUGGGAGGCAAGGCGAGGAGGCCCUGCGCGCUGCUGCUCGUUCUGCUCUGCAUGGCCGCGCGCAUCCAUGGCGCGUGCUGCCGUGGCGGAGGGCACGGUGGCGCAGCGGGCGGCGGAGGCCACGGAAGCGGAGUGGGCGGCGGAGGCCACGAAGGAGGAGCGGCUGGCGGUGGCCACGAUGGCGGCGUUGGCGGCGGCGGGGGGGACGGAGAAGGUGACGGGACAGGAGGCGGCGGAAGUGGCGGCCGGAGGGGAGGCGGCGGCGGCGCUGCGAUUAUUCCGGGGGCGGGCGGAAACAGCAGGCCGGCUGGUUCUCGUGCCGGCCGCGGGGUCGGCUGGAGUGUUCCCGGCGCCGCCUCCCUCGCGGCCGCGGCGCUCGUCUGGUGGCUCUGAGCUACAUCGAUCACUGUACUGGAUAUGCAUGCAUGUAUGCGCACGCACCCAUUCUGUCAUGCGCCGCCGGCAGUCGUCUCCGGCCUCCGCCAGUCCUAGCCCCUGUCGUCCGCCCGGCACGGAGGCUCUCUUGUCGGCGGCGGAGACGGGAUGGAGGACGCCUUGCUGGGAGGACGGCGGCUCCCUGGAGAAACCGAGAGAGAGAAGCAAGGAUGAACCACGAGCAGAGGAAGCAGUGAGAUUCCUAGCUCGAUCCGAGGCGGCUGCUGGCGCGGGAGGAUGGCGGCUCCCUGGAGAAACCGAGACAGAAGGGAGGAAGGGGUGUGAGCAGAGGAAGCAGCGGGGGAUGAGCGAAAGAUCUACGUAUAACGUUAGCAUGGCUAAAACAGAAAACACUAGGAGCGGGAUAAACGAGUUAUACCCUCCAGUAGACCAUGCAGAGGCCGCGGCUUUGGUAGCAGCAGCGGCGUCCUCGGCGGCCUUCUUGUCAGCUUCAGCUUUCUCGGCGGCGGCACGCGCAGCCGCGUGGAGAGACGUGGGCUCGACCCACGUUCGAGUCCGUGACAGCCCACGAUCCGACGUCUCAGAUCGUGGCCCAGCUGUCAGAGAACUCUCCGUUAGUGACUGGCAAAAAUAA
rnacentral:rRNA from 1 species